rnacentral:rRNA from 1 species
GAUGAACGCUGGCGGCGUGCCUAAUACAUGCAAGUCGAGCGAACAGACGAGGAGCUUGCUCCUCUGACGUUAGCGGCGGACGGGUGAGUAACACGUGGAUAACCUACCUAUAAGACUGGGAUAACUUCGGGAAACCGGAUCUAAUACCGGAUAAUAUAUUGAACCGCAUGGUUCAAUAGUGAAAGACGGUUUUGCUGUCACUUAUAGAUGGAUCCGCGCCGCAUUAGCUAGUUGGUAAGGUAACGGCUUACCAAGGCAACGAUGCGUAGCCGACCUGAGAGGGUGAUCGGCGACACUGGAACUGAGACACGGUCCAGACUCCUACGGGAGGCAGCAGUAGGGAAUCUGCCGCAAUGGGCGAAAGCCUGACGGAGCAACGCCGCGUGAGUGAUGAAGGUCUUCGGAUCGUAAAACUCUGUUAUUAAGGAAGAACAAAUGUGUAAGUAACUAUGCACGUCUUGACGGUACCUAAUCAGAAAGCCACGGCUAACUACGUG